rnacentral:rRNA from 1 species
CGACCGGCGCACGGGUGCGUAACGCGUAUGCAACCUACCUUUAACAGGGGGAUAACACUGAGAAAUUGGUACUAAUACCCCAUAAUAUCAUAGAAGGCAUCUUUUAUGGUUGAAAAUUCCGAUGGUUAGAGAUGGGCAUGCGUUGUAUUAGCUAGUUGGUGGGGUAACGGCUCACCAAGGCGACGAUACAUAGGGGGACUGAGAGGUUAACCCCCACACUGGUACUGAGACACGGACCAG